rnacentral:rRNA from 1 species
AUAUAGGAAUCUACCUAGCAGUAUGGAAUAACGCCGGGAAACCGGUGCUAAUACCAUAUAUUACCGAUUUAUCGGGAAAGAUUUAUCGCUGUUAGAUGAGCCUGUACAAGAUUAGCUUGUUGGUAGGGUAAUGGCCUACCAAGGCAAUGAUCUUUAGCUGGUCUGAGAGGAUGAUCAGCCACACUGGGACUGCGACACGGCCCAGACUCCUACGGGAGGCAGCAGUGGGGAAUAUUGGACAAUGGGCGCAAGCCUGAUCCAGCAAUACCAUGUGAAUGAUGAAGGCCUUAGGGUUGUAAA